AUUUUGUUUCCCCCUAUAAACCCAGUGUGAGUGGCAACUGCUGUAAUUAGGGAGCACAGCCCCCCCCAAGGCUUUCCCUCUACAUUCUGCAUUUCCAUAUUGUCUACUUAGCAGGGUUCUUGGCCCUUCGAUUAUACUUGUGCUAGUUUCAAAAGUCAGCUGGUCCUGACACAGCUCUGCCACAGUCCAGCCAUCACCUGUGCCAUUUCAGUUCUCAUGACAUCACAGGAGCCCAACCCUGGACAUCACAAGAGAUUAACCUUUGGCCUCAGGUUUUGACCCUGAAAACCUCAGGAACCAGGAUGGUACUAUGGAUGUUGAGUGAUAAAAGUAAUUUUGGCUAGGACUUACUGGGUUUAAAUUCUACCAUCAGCAGGUAUGGAGUGUGGCUGUUAUACAGGUUAAUGGGUUUUUUCCCAUUCCAUACUUGUUUAUUUUGUGGCACCUUGACUGUAAGCAGAAGUCAGUAUUCUGUGGCCAGGAGUGGGAGUUAACCUGCUAAAUAGACAGAAGUCAGUAUUCUGUAAGCAGAAGUCAGUAUUCUGUGACCAGGAGUGGGAGUUAACCUGCUAAAUAGAUCCUACUGCCAUUUUGAAACAGCAGUAACAGUGAUGGGGCAGAGACCCAGCUGGGGAUGUGUGAAAUCUGGAUUAUAGGAUAGUUGAAUGACAGGAUUUGAAGGACUGGAUGGCAGGAAUCUGGGAAGUGAAGAGCACUCUACCUUUGGAGCAACACAAUACUGGAAACAGCUUUUUCAUCCAGGACCAAAUGACAGAGAAAGGUAUUAAAGAUUAUUUCCUCAUGUUAAAGCAAUUUUCAGUUUGGGAUGUAACACAGGCUUAAUGCUAAGGGUCUGUAAUUUUUUUUUUUGCAGAAUCCAGCAUGCUCAAAUAAAGAGAAAUUGCUGGGGGAGGCUGAACUUAAU
rnacentral:lncRNA from 1 species